UACGGAGGGUGCGAGCGUUAUCCGGAUUCACUGGGUUUAAAGGGUGUGUAGGCGGGCUGUUAAGUCAGUGGUGAAAUCUCCGGGCUCAACCCGGAAACUGCCAUUGAUACUAUCAGUCUUGAAUCUUGCUGAGGUGGACGGAAUAUAUCAUGUAGCGGUGAAAUGCUUAGAUAUGAUAUAGAACACCGAUUGCGAAGGCAGCUCACUAAGCAAGUAUUGACGCUGAGGCACGAAAGCGUGGGGAUCAAACAGG
rnacentral:rRNA from 1 species